UUGGCAUUGUAAUUGGAAAGAUUGGAAAGAUACAGACGGUAAUUUAGUUUAUAUACCCAAUAAAGGUUACGAUAAAUCGGUGGAAUCGAAGAACGAUUCUGAGCAAAGAUACAUCAAUUGGUAAGUUUAUAGGUUUAAUCGUGAAUUUUCCCUUUAUAGCCAAUGAAUUAAUAAAACCAAUGUACUGUCUUAUUUAGUGUCGGAUUU